GUCCGGCAUACCGAAACCGCGGAUGGCUCAUUAUAACAGCUAUGAUUUAAGAGACUUAGUUGGCAAUCUUGCCACAGGAUAACUGUGGUAAUUCUAGAGCUAAUACUUUUCAAAAUGCCGUGACGAAAGAAGCGGUGUAUUUAUUAGAAUCAAAACCAAUCUGUCGCAAGACAGUGUUUUGGUGACUCUGGAUAAUCUCAACUGAUCGUACGGCCUUUGUGUCGACGACCGAUCUCUUAAAGUGGCUGACCUAUCAACUUUAGAUGGUAAGGUAACUGCUUACCAUGGUUGUAACGGGUAACGGGGAAUCAGGGUUCGAUUCCGGAGAGGGAGCCUGAGAAACGGCUACCACAUCCACGGAUGGCAGCAGGCGCGUAACAUGCCCAAUGCGAGUGCAAGCUCGUGAGGCUGUAAAGAAUCAUAACAAUAUGGGCCUUUUUAAGGACUCAUAAUUGCAAUGAGAUAAUUUUAAAUACUUUUACGAGUAUCAAUUGGAGGGCAAGUCUGGUGCCAGCAGCCGCGGUAAUUCCAGCUCCAAUAGCGUAUAUUAAAGUUGUUGCAGUUAAAAAGCUCGUAGUCGAAAUUGAGGAAUCGUGAUGGGUUGAUGAUCUGUUGAUCGUUGCCUAUCUGAUCCUUCUUAGCUGUGUCUAUGUCCGAUGCUCUUCAUUUGGGUGUUGGAUGUAACCGGCAAGUUUACUUUGAAAAAAUUAGAGUGCUUAAAGCAGGCUUUACSCUUGYAUAUUUGUGCAUGGAAUAAUGAAAUAAGACUUCGGUUUUAUUUUGUU
rnacentral:rRNA from 1 species